GAUGAACGCUGGCGGCGUGCCUAAUACAUGCAAGUCGAGCGAACAGACGAGGAGCUUGCUCCUCUGACGUUAGCGGCGGACGGGUGAGUAACACGUGGAUAACCUACCUAUAAGACUGGGAUAACUUCGGGAAACCGGAGCUAAUACCGGAUAAUAUAUUGAACCGCAUGGUUCAAUAGUGAAAGACGGUUUUGCUGUCACUUAUAGAUGGAUCCGCGCCGCAUUAGCUAGUUGGUAAGGUAACGGCUUACCAAGGCAACGAUGCGUAGCCGACCUGAGAGGGUGAUCGGCCACACUGGAACUGAGACACGGUCCAGACUCCUACGGGAGGCAGCAGUAGGGAAUCUUCCGCAAUGGGCGAAAGCUUGACGGAGCAAAGCCGCGUGAGUGAUGAAGGUCUUCGGAUCGUAAAACUCUGUUAUUAGAGAAGAACAAAUGUGUAAGUAACUAUGCACGUCUUGACGGUACCUAAUCAGAAAGCCACGGCUAACUACGUG
rnacentral:rRNA from 1 species